CCUACGGGUGGCAGCAGUAGGGAAUUUUGCGCAAUGGGCGAAAGCCUGACGCAGCAACACCGCGUGAAUGUUAAGCCCUUCGGGGUGUAAAGUUCUGUCAAUAGGGACGAAUUUUGACUGUACCUAUAAAGGAAGCACCGGCUAACUCCGUGCCAGCAGCCGCGGUAAUACGGGGGGUGCAAGCGUUGUCCGGAAUCAUUGGGCGUAAAGCGUUCGUAGGCGGCAAGGUAAGUCUGAUGUUAAAGCCCGGGGCUCAACUCCGGUUCGGCAUUGGAUACUAUCUAGCUAGAAUGUGGUAGAGGUAAAGGGAAUUCCUGGUGUAGCGGUGAAAUGCGUAGAGAUCAUACAGAACACCGAUUGCGAAGGCAGCUUACCAAUCUAUAUCUGACGUUGAGGCACGAAAGCGUGGGGAGCAAACAGGAUUAGAUACCCCGGUAGUC
rnacentral:rRNA from 1 species